UCAGUCACUGGCUUGCUCACACCGGCAUCUUGGCACGCCGCGGUAUCUCUAUUUUGGCCAGGGAAGUUAUCCUCCUCGUGCGCGCGCGACAAGACCCAUACGCAUUAGCCGCACGUGCACGCUGCCCACUGCUGUGCCGACUGCUGCCCCCCUUCCCUUUCACGGCCGAAGCAUAGGAGACUCUCUUGCGAGGUUGAACUCGGUGUGUGCGAGAGGCGGGGAGGCAUAGGGGGACACAUCGAGGUGCAGCGAGCGCAGUACCACGGCCAUGAAUGUGGCUGCGGCCUCGGCGUUCAUUCGAGCAUCUGGUCUUUUGAUUUCCCCUUUCGUCAUAAUCGUGCCCGUGCAUCGAUCGCAGACCCGCGGUGUGCGUUCCUUCUCUCAUUCUCUUCUUUUAGUUCUGCUCUGUGACCCUCAAUGUAUGCGCGUCGCUCAUCUUUUGCGUCCAAAGGACCCGUCACGCACCCCUCCAUCCACCGCCCCACCAUCGCUGCUAUCCACGGUAUCAUUGCCAUACGCGUCCCCGCUCACCACCUUCUUCGGUGGGCCUCCCUUCGUUGUCUUCGUAUACCUCGCGGUUGCCAUACAUCGCCGCUGUCACUGGCGGAGCUCCACAGGCAGACACGCGCACACACUAAAGCAGACACCGACGUUCCACUGCCACCGGCUCCGUCUCACGCGCGCUGAGUUUCUCCGCAUCUUCUAUCUCUCUGCCGAACUACUCGCACCGGCGGCGUGUGCGGGCACUUACGCUUCGCUUGGCAACUGAGGAGCCGCGUGGACUCGGCAGCCUCUGGUCUCUUCUCCUUCGCUGGCAAAGGAAUGCUCGCCUAUCGAGUGCACAGGAUCCAGACAGGGGUGUACAUCUACCCCUGGGCCAACGGCGAGGAGGCGACGCUGUCCGUUUCAGGGGAUCAUCAGGUGACCCUGCACUGCGCCGGAGACUUGAUCUCUGACCCCUUCCCGUUUGAUGAAGUCGUCUUUGCACCCUUUCACAAUACACUGUACUCCUGCUGCGUUGCCGAUGGCGUGAGACUGCAGUUCGGCUCUGCGGUGCAGCGGCGUGCACCGAGCUUCCGCGAUGUGCCGCGCCGCACCACCAUAGUCCAUGGAGAUCCUGUGUCGCACGUGGGCGAGACGUUUUAUAACGUGCUGCUCCUCGCUGCCGAGGAGGUGGAGCGCAUCGCUGGCGCCCGUCACUCUCAGAGCGCGUAUGAGUGCGUCUUCAACGUGGUUCGCGUGUACCCGUGGGGAGAGGAGGACCUGCUGGAGGCGGCGGGGCGGGCACAUUGUCGCGGCUCAGCGUCGUCCUCGGGGACGGCUGCCGAGCAGGGGAUAUCGCUGUGGAACAAGCGCACAUCUGUGCCGCUUCGCACAUCGGCGCAGCGCCAGCUCUUCAAGAGCACGCUGAAGCAGCUCUGCUGCGGCCCCCGCAGCGAGGGGCGAGACGACACGGCUGCGUGUGUGCAGCAGGUACGGCUGGCUGUGUACGCGCCGGCGAGGGAUUCGACGGCGGGCGAUCGUGUUUUGUGCGCUGAGCACCUCUUUUCGCUGGUGCCGUCCGUUUGCGACGUUGGCGCCAGCUUUGGUACGACAAUGGAGGCACUCUGCGAGAUGCUGGUGUGCCGGCGCCAGGGCAACGUGCUAGACAACCCACUGCUGCCUGUACUGCUGCCUGGUGUGUCUGUCGACUGCCUGACGAUCCUCACGUGCAUCUCCGCACGGGGCGAGCACGCGAGCCGCCCGUGCAUCGACGCGUGCUGCUUCGGGUGCAGCAGCGAGCGACGGCGGCACCCCACCGCGGCUUCGUCGUUGGCCGUGCCUCCUGCUGGUGCCUCGGGGAACGGGACUGCCAAGGGUACGCCCGCUCGGGGCUUGGCGCCACUGCUGCGUCAGCCAGUCUCCCGCUCCGCCUUCUUCCAGCGCAUGACGGGUGACCUGCUGAUGUCCGUGGCGCCUAGCAUUAGAAACGCAUCGUGGCAGACAUCACAACCGCAGAAGCCGAGCGCGACUACGCCGCGCACACCGCCCUCCGGCCCCUCACGCGCGUCGAACAGUGACCCUUUCGCACAGUUGGACGAGUCUGUCGAUCGCCUCCUUAUGCUGCGGCGUCUGAAGGAGUCCCCCGCGGGUAAGCCAAGCCUCCUGGGAGACGGUACAACUUCCACGUCGCCGCCAUCGGAGACGAGGCGUACUGCGUCAGCGCUGCCCGCGACAUCGGGAGCAUCAGCACUCAGCAUGGCAGUAGAGCCGCUAGUCGCUACACCACCAGGGAGAGCACAAAACGAGAGCUGUGAAAGUAGUCGGGGCGCAGAGAUCCGCAAGCUCGACUCUCUCCAGGAAGCAAGCGCCCUUAUCGAUGGCGCCAACAUGGUCGCGAAUGGACGGGCUGCUAGUGCGUGUCGACUAGAUGAGUCGGCGUCUGCCAGGGCCCUUGAGAUAGAGGCGAAGGUGCGAAAACGGUGCCCGGACUACUACGCCAAAGAGGCUACACUCUCUCUGCACCACGAGGAGCUGCAGACGCCAUGCGCGGAGCUGGUGCAGAGGGAGCGGAAACGGCACGUACUGGUGGACGAAGGACAGUAUCACACCGCUGAGCUGUGGCGCACGGCGCGGGUCUUCCAGAGCCUGGAACCUUCUGUGGAAAGCUUGCGCCAGCGGGAGCAGGAACUAUCAGCGUAUCUCAAGAUGCUCGACUCGUACGUCGCCUAUGUGAAUGCGACGUGCCGGCUGUACACGGACCAGGUGGAUGCGAAGAUGCUGCUGAUGGACGGCGUGAAGCGCUACUUAACGCGGCGUAUCAGCAUCGCUGCGUGGGUGGAGCGGGCGGGCAUCCUGCGCCAGCGGUGUGAGCACUACGACCGCCGAGUCGAUGCACUACAGCGUCAGGAGGCCGCUCUCAGUCAUCAGAUGCACUCGAUGGAGCUGGAAGCUACUGCUCUGCGAACAGAGGUGCAGCGGUUGGAGGAACUGCGCGACACGACAGAGCGCGAUAUAGCCGAGGACAAGCGAGCUGCAGCUGCGCGCCAAGUGAAAGCCCUCGAGGAGUACGAGGAGAGCCUUGUGAGUGUGCGGCGAGUGCAAGGUGAACGCGAUGCUGUCGCGCGCGAGGUGGCAGAUCUAGCGGCGCGGCGCGCGGAGGCUGCCGAAGACGUUGCCUGCAGGGAGACGGAGCGCGACGCGGUGCGCGCGGAGGUGCAUGCGCUGGAGGCGGAGCUUGCAGGGCUUCAAGCUACGCUAGACGCAGCCCGUGAGGCUGGUGCUGCGGAGUCUACUGCGUCUUCCGGCGCGCAUGGUGCUGAGAAUGCUGCCAGUAAGCAGCUCUCUGGUGACGAAGGUGCACUGAGUGACAGCAGCCUGGCCGCCGCGAAAGGGGUUAUUGAGGACGAGCUGCACAAGGUUAUUGAAGAACUUGCCGUGGCAACGGAAGAGCUGGUGGAGGUAGAGGAUGUCAUAAUUGAGGAGGUAGACAGAGCUGUGAUGGUGCUGCGCCGCUGCGAUGGUGAGAUGACGCUGCGGUUUGAUCGUCUCAUGGAUCGGUGUGCCAGUUUCAUUGACGUGGAGAGCCGACUGGCUAGGCGCUCGGCCUCCAUGUUCUCAGAAAGCUCGUCGCAGCGCCACACCAGAAUGUGACACAGUGAGAGGAAGUGACGACGACUCAAUUUCUUCUUCUGCCUUCUCCUGCGCCUGUGAGCCAGUCGCCGUGCAGCGUCGUCGAACCCCAGAUCAGCUGUGCGUCUCCUCAGCUGUCUGUAAGUGCUCGUGCCGCGCGUGCCAUGCCCCGUUCGCCGUCGACCCUCUCGUGCGUGGCCCUCGGCGUGGAUCGCUUCCUGGCUGGUGUCUCUGUCAAACGCCUUUUCCAUUUUUCUGUCUUGGCCGCUCCCCCGAGAGAGUGAUGCUGCCCGCCGCUGCUGCCGAUGGUGAGAGGCGCGCCUCUUUAUAGUAUUUGAGAGUAUACAAUGGUCAUCUGCGGGGUUGGGGGGGCUUCGUCUGGCCGCGUCUCUUCUCCGAGGGCCAUCGGCGGCAGCGACGGGCAGCAGACGAUGACAUACACGCACAGCCCUUUGCACAGCUGCGGCGCACACGUCUACCCGCAGGAAGGCGUUCCCUCAACAAGAUCUAUAUAAAUGCAUAUGCGUAUGUAUGCGUGGCCUCUCUCUCUCUCCUCGUAUUCGCCACGGCAUUCGCCCGCGUGUGUUGUCGCUUCGGGCGGUUUGGUGCCUCGUCCCUCCGCUGGUGCUUACACGCGCUCUUACACCGUCACGCAAGCGCUUUUGCUGCCCCGGAAGGCGCGUGCUCGUUUGCGGGGGGCGAUUUGCAUGCACUUUUUUUUAGCUCGUGUGCAUGCGUGCCUUGGCCGUGUGACGCCGUUGGGUGCGUCGCCCCACCCCCACCCACCCAGGCUCCUAGGUAUCCCUUUUCUCUUGAUACCACCGGCACCUGUGGGUUCGGACACUUGCAUCUUGGAGCUCUACUGCGCGCUUCCUAACGGUGUGCCGGUGUUACACACGGGUGCAUCCGCAGUCGAAUGCGCGGUCCGGCGCU
rnacentral:misc_RNA from 1 species